AGAGUUUGAUCAUGGCUCAGAUUGAACGCUGGCGGCAGGCCUAACACAUGCAAGUCGAACGGUAGCACAGAGAGCUUGCUCUCGGGUGACGAGUGGCGGACGGGUGAGUAAUGUCUGGGAAACUGCCUGAUGGAGGGGGAUAACUACUGGAAACGGUAGCUAAUACCGCAUAACGUCGCAAGACCAAAGAGGGGGACCUUCGGGCCUCCUGCCAUCAGAUGUGCCCAGAUGGGAUUAGCUAGUAGGUGGGGUAACGGCUCACCUAGGCGACGAUCCCUAGCUGGUCUGAGAGGAUGACCAGCCACACUGGAACUGAGACACGGUCCAGACUCCUACGGGAGGCAGCAGUGGGGAAUAUUGCACAAUGGGCGCAAGCCUGAUGCAGCCAUGCCGCGUGUAUGAAGAAGGCCUUCGGGUUGUAAAGUACUUUCAGCGGGGAGGAAGGUGUUGUGGUUAAUAACCACAGCAAUUGACGUUACCCGCAGAAGAAGCACCGGCUAACUCCGUGCCAGCAGCCGCGGUAAUACGGAGGGUGCAAGCGUUAAUCGGAAUUACUGGGCGUAAAGCGCACGCAGGCGGUCUGUCAAGUCGGAUGUGAAAUCCCCGGGCUCAACCUGAGAACUGCAUUCGAAACUGGCAGGCUGGAGUCUUGUAGAGGGGGGUAGAAUUCCAGGUGUAGCGGUGAAAUGCGUAGAGAUCUGGACGAAUACCCGGUGGCGAAGGCGGCCCCCUGGACAAAGACUGACGCUCAUGUGCGAAAGCGUAGUGGAACUAAACAGGAUUACACACUCUGGUAGUCAC
rnacentral:rRNA from 1 species